rnacentral:rRNA from 1 species
AACGAACGCUGGCGGCAGGCCUAACACAUGCAAGUCGAGCGAACCGCAAGGUUAGCGGCGGACGGGUUAGUAACGCGUGGGAACGUGCCCAAAGGUACGGAAUAGCCUCGGGAAACUGAGAGUAAUACCGUAUGUGCCCGAAAGGGGAAAGAUUUAUCGCCUUUGGAUCGGCCCGCGUUGGAUUAGGUAGUUGGUGGGGCAAUGGCCUACCAAGCCGACGAUCCAUAGCUGGUUUGAGAGGAUGAUCCGCAACACUGGGACUGAGACACGGCCCAGACUCCUACGGGAGGCAGCAGUGGGGAAUCUUAGACAAUGGGGGAAACCCUGAUCUAGCCAUGCCGCGUGAGCGAUGAAGGCCUUAGGGUUGUAAAGCUCUUUCACCGGGGAAGAUAAUGACGGUACCCGGAGAAGAAGCCCCGGCUAACUCCGUGCCAGCCGCCGCGGUAAUAC